rnacentral:tRNA from 1 species
GGUACUGUGGCUUAGCUGGUUAAAGUGCAUGUCUAAUAAACAGGAGAUCCUGGGUUCAAAGCCCAGCAGUACCA